rnacentral:lncRNA from 1 species
GUCAUAGGACCCAUGGUUUAUAAGCACUUAAAAGCACUACCAUACAUAUACUUAACAUUCGUUGUGUGCUUAGCAGGAUGUUGGGAAUGUCUAGAAGUGUAUCUAAGUUUCCAACUUACAGAAGGAGAUAUCGGCAGGUUGUUAAGAACUUGAUACAUUAUUCAGCUGCAAAGGAUGGUUCUUGUUCAUUAGCAAAGGAGGGUUCUAACAGAUCCAUUACUUGUUCUGCAACUAAGGAAGGCUCCAACAGAUCCAUUACUUGUUCUGCAUCUAAGGAAGGCUCCAACAGAUCAAUGUCUACAAGAUCAAUUGGUUCCAUUGAUAUCGUCUGAGAGAUAUUUAUCUGGUUGAAUUCUUUCUUCUUUUUCGAUUUUCUGAUGCUGUACAAUAGCUACUGUAGUCCUCUAGAUCAUAUUGGCUUGUAAAGUUUUUGUUACACGCUGUUUUUUGUGUCAAAAACUUCGUUGAAUGUAUAUGAAGAGAAUGUACAGUGGGCAAACACGCUUGGUGUUCAUUUUGUAUGUGAAUCUUUUGAAUGCUUCAUAGGAAAUAUAUGUAAAUUUUCAUCUUCGAAGGCUCAGACAUGCACGCGGAUCUUGUACAUGACGAUGAAGUCUUUUAAAAAGUACGGUAUCUGAAAUUUCAUGAACGCGGAGUCAAUGAGUUAGCUGAAGUAAUCCAUGUCUUGUCACUCU